CUGGUUGAUCCUGCCAGUAGUCAUAUGCUUGUCUCAAAGACUAAGCCAUGCAUGUCUAAGUAUAAAUGAUAUACAGUGAAACUGCGAAUGGCUCAUUAAAACAGUUAUAGUUUAUUUGGUAAUCGAAUUUACAUGGAUAACCGUGGUAAUUCUAGAGCUAAUACAUGCUGUAAAGCCCGACUUCACGGAAGGGCCGUAUUUAUUAGAUAACAGACCAAUAUUCCUCGUGUCUAUUGUGGUGAAUCAUAGUAACUAAUCGGAUCGCAUGGGCUAGUCCCGCGACAAACCAUUCAAGUUUCUGCCCCAUCAGCUUUCGAUGGUAGUGUAUUGGACUACCAUGGCUUUUACGGGUAACGGAGGAUUAGGGUUCGAUUCCGGAGAGGGAGCCUGAGAAACGGCUACCACAUCUAAGGAAGGCAGCAGGCGCGUAAAUUACCCAAUCCUAAUUCAGGGAGGUAGUGACAAGAAAUAACGGGUCGGGGUUUAUGCCCCGGGACUGCAAUGAGAUGAAUUUACACCCCUUUUCGAGUAACAAUUGGAGGGCAAGUCUGGU
rnacentral:rRNA from 2 species